CACCCGCUCCCAUAUUGACCGGCGCAGACGCAACACGAUCAACUAAAGAUUCACACGUUAAUUAAUUAUAUUAAUUUUGUGUUAGUGGUUUAGUGUUAUUUUAUUGAAUUGUGAAGUGUUUGUGAAUUAUUGUUUUUUAUAAUAAAGUGUUAUUUUAAUUAGUGUAAAUGAAUUAUUGUCAUAUUGCAGCGUUUGAUUUCGAUAAAAGUGAGCUGCUAUGAAGGAGAGGAUAUCAUAUACUUCACAAAGCUUAACAGAGCUACAGAGGAGUACAACAUUACCG